GUUGAGCGAAGCUUUUUGGUAGUUUACUACUAGAAAUGACUGAGCGGCGAACGGGUGAGUAACGCGUGAGCAAUCUACCUUAGUUACUGGGAUAGCCCGAGGAAACUCGGAUUAAUACCGGAUAUUCUUAUUUUUUCACAUGAAGUUUUAAGGAAAGGUCAGCCGAACUAAGAUGAGCUCGCGUUCUAUCAGCUAGUUGGUGGGGUAAAAGCCUACCAAGGCUACGACGGAUAGCUGGUCUGAGAGGACGAUCAGCCACACUGGGACUGAGACACGGCCCAGACUCCUACGGGAGGCUGCAGCAGGGAAUAUUGUGCAAUGAGCGAAAGCUUGACACAGCGACACCGCGUGUGGGAUGACGGUUCUAGGAUUGUAAACCACUUUCAGGAGGGAAGAAAAUGACGGUACCUCCACAAGAAGACCCGGCCAACUAUGUGCCAGCAGCCGCGGUAAUACAUAGGGGUCAAGCGUUGUCCGGAUUUAUUGGGCGUAAAGAGCUCGUAGGCGGUUCAACAAGUCGGUCGUAAAAGUUUAGGGCUCAACCCUAAAAUGUCGAUCGAUACUGUUGUGACUAGGAUACGGUAGAGGUGAAUGGAAUUCCGAGUGUAGCGGUGAAAUGCGAAGAUAUUCGGAGGAACACCAAUUGCGAAGGCAGUUCACUGGACCGUGAUCGACGCUGAGGAGCGAAAGCUAGGGGAGCAAACAGGAUUAGAUACCCUGGUAGUCCUAGCUGUAAACGAUGGAUACUAGAUGUAGGAACUGGAUUGACGGUUUCCGUAUCGUAGCUAACGCGUUAAGUAUCCCGCCUGGGGAGUACGGUCGCAAGACUAAAACUCAAGGAAAUUGACGGGACCCCGCACAAGCGGCGGAGCAUGCGGCUUAAUUCGAUGAUACCCGUAGAA
rnacentral:rRNA from 1 species